GAUGAACGCUGGCGGCGUGCUUAACACAUGCAAGUCGAACGGAAAGGCUCCUGCUUGCUGGGGUACUCGAGUGGCGAACGGGUGAGUAACACGUGGGUGAUCUGCCCUGCACUUCGGGAUAAGCCUGGGAAACUGGGUCUAAUACCGGAUAGGACGAUGGUUUGGAUGCCAUUGUGGAAAGUUUUUCGGUGUGGGAUGAGCUCGCGGCCUAUCAGCUUGUUGUUGGGGUAAUGGCCUACCAAGGCGUCGACGGGUAGCCGGCCUGGGAGGGGGUACGGCCACAUUGGUACUGAGGGACGGCCCAGGCUCCUACGGGGGGCAGCAGGGGGGAAUAUGGCACAAUGGGCGCAAGCCUGAUGCAGCGACGCCGGGUGGGGGAUGACGGCCUUCGGGUUGUAAACUCCUUUCGCUAGGGACGAAGCGCUAGUGACGGUACCUGGAGAAGAAGCACCGGCUAACUACGUG
rnacentral:rRNA from 1 species